rnacentral:rRNA from 1 species
AGAGUUUGAUUCUGGCUCAGGAUGAACGCUAGCUACAGGCUUAACACAUGCAAGUCGAGGGGUAGCAGGGUAGCAAUACCGCUGACGACCGGCGCACGGUGAGUAACACGUAUCCAACCUUCCCAUAACUCAGGGAUAGCCUUUCGAAAGAAAGAUUAAUACCUGAUAGUACUUUUUCAAGGCAUCUUGAGAAAGUUAAAGAUUUAUUGGUUAUGGAUGGGGAUGCGUUCCAUUAGAUAGUUGGUGAGGUAACGGCUCACCAAGUCUUCGAUGGAUAGGGGUUCUGAGAGGAAGGUCCCCCACAUUGGUACUGAGACACGGACCAAACUCCUACGGGAGGCAGCAGUGAGGAAUAUUGGUCAAUGGGCGAGAGCCUGAACCAGCCAAGUAGCGUGAAGGAAUGAAGGUCCUAUGGAUUGUAAACUUCUUUUAUAGUAGAAUAAAGUGAUCCACGUGUGGAUUUUUGUAUGUAUACUAUGAAUAAGGAUCGGCUAACUCCGUGCCAGCCGCCGC